CAACGCCGCGUGAAUGACGAAGUACUUCGGUAUGUAAAGUUCUUUUAUCAAGGAAGAAUGACUCGUGGAAAAACGAGAGUGACGGUACUUGAUGAAUAAGCCCCGGCUAACUAUGUGCCAGCAGCCGCGGUAAUA
rnacentral:rRNA from 1 species